AUUGUAUUUUGAUGAGGUUUAUCAAAAUCAAAAUAUCAGUUCUUAUCUGAUUUAUCUCUGGUAAGACUUCCAUAGGGAGUCAAACAGAUUAAACUGAUUUUUUUUUAAAGACAGAGGGCUAGGGGCUUGUGACUCUGGCGCAGAUUGAAAAAAAAUUGUCACGCUCAGAUUCUCUUGGAGUUUUACAGCC